rnacentral:rRNA from 1 species
AUUGAACGCUGGCGGUAUGCCUUACACAUGCAAGUCGAACGGUAGAGGGGCAACCCUUGAGAGUGGCGAACGGGUGAGUAAUACAUCGGAACGUGCCCAGUCGUGGGGGAUAACGUAGCGAAAGCUACGCUAAUACCGCAUACGACCUGAGGGUGAAAGCGGGGGAUCGCAAGACCUCGCGCGAUUGGAGCGGCCGAUGGCAGAUUAGGUAGUUGGUGGGGUAAAGGCCUACCAAGCCUGCGAUCUGUAGCUGGUCUGAGAGGACGACCAGCCACACUGGGACUGAGACACGGCCCAGACUCCUACGGGAGGCAGCAGUGGGGAAUUUUGGACAAUGGGCGAAAGCCUGAUCCAACCAUACCGCGUGCGGGAAGAAGGCCUUCGGGUUGUAAACCGCCUUUGUCAGGGAAGAAAUCUUCUGGGUUAAUACCUCGGGAGGAUGACGGUACCUGAAGAAUAAGCACCGGCUAACUACGUGCCAGCCGCCGCCGUAA